GGCAUUGAGAAGACCUGGCUCUCUUCUAGCACCUGUUGGUUGUCAGGGUUGAUCUGUGUGAUCUUUUCUCUAAGUGAGCUGUGCUUUCCUUCUUCACCUUUCCAUGUAUGUCCUUCCCGAAGCUGUACUCUACAUGGGAGGGAAUAACUCUCUCAUAUAGGAGGAGCCUUUUAAAGUCAAAAAUAUAUGGAGUAGCUUACCUUCUCCUGUGAGAGCCUCCAAACAAGCUCUUGAGAAAACCAUAAGGGCAAGAGAGAUAGCUCAAGGAUAAGGGUACUUUCUGAAUAACAUGAGCUUGGAUCC
rnacentral:snRNA from 1 species